rnacentral:rRNA from 1 species
UACGGGGGGGGGCAAGCGUUGUUCGGAAUUACUGGGCGUAAAGGGCUCGUAGGCGGCCAACUAAGUCAGACGUGAAAUCCCUCGGCUUAACCGGGGAACUGCGUCUGAUACUGGAUGGCUCGAGUUUGGGAGAGGGAUGCGGAAUUCCAGGUGUAGCGGUGAAAUGCGUAGAUAUCAAGAGGAACACCAGUGGCGAAGGCGAGUCCCUGGACAACUUCUGACGCUGAGGCACGAAAGCUAGGGGAGCAAACAGG